rnacentral:rRNA from 1 species
UACGUAGGGUGCAAGCGUUGUCCGGAAUUAUUGGGCGUAAAGAGCUCGUAGGCGGUCUGUCACGUCGGCUGUGAAAACCCGGGGCUCAACCCCGGGCCUGCAGUCGAUACGGGCAGACUAGAGUGCGGUAGGGGGAGACUGGAAUUCCUGGUGUAGCGGUGAAAUGCGCAGAUAUCAGGAGGAACACCGGUGGCGAAGGCGGGUCUCUGGGCCGUAACUGACGCUGAGGAGCGAAAAGCGUGGGGGAGCGAACAGG